CAAUUUCUUGCUGCACAAGAAAAAUCAAAUCAAAAAGGAAAAACUGAGAAAGAAAACCAAAUGCAAGCAAACAAUAACAAAAAGGUGAAAAUGCUUAUGUUGUGAACCACACUCACUUCCCACAGUCCUCUCUCUGGAUGCAGAUGACUCUCCAUCACUGGAUCAUCUCAUUGUUGGAAAGAUUCAGGUCCAUCAGAAUUGCUGAUUAUCUAAUCUUGCUGUUGCUGUGUACAAUGAUCUCCUGGUUCUGCUCACUUCACUCAGCAUCAAUCCUGUAAGUUUGCCCAGGUCUUUCUGAAAUCCUCCUGUUGAUCGUUUCUUACAGAACAAUAAUAUUCCAUAACAUUCACAUCCCAUCACUUAUUCAGCCAUUCCCCCACUGAUGGGCUCCAUCAGCUUCCAGCUCCUUGCCACCACAAAGAGGGCUGCCGCAAACACUUUUGCACACGUGGGUCUCAAAAUCCAAUGAUUUUUCCACUGCACACUGAUGUUAAGGAGUCCAUAAAGGGUUCAAAUUGGUUUUAUUACUAUUACCCGAGUUAAUUUGUAGGUCAAUUUUCUAAGUCCAGAUGGCCACGUUGAUAGUCUGUUGACAGGCAAUAGGUCCGUCCACUGGUAAACAUUAAAGAUUUCGGAUGAGCAUCACAGACACAUACAAAAAAGAUUCUUUAGGUAGCAAUGGGAAGGAUAGGUUAGAGGUGGAGAAAGCAGAGGUGACAAGAUCUGGUAGGAAGCUAUUGUUUUACUAGCUUAAGGGCCUGCACUCUACAGGAGUGACAAGAGUCCCUGAUGAACGCACUUGUGAAUCCAGUCUUUUUCUUUUUAGAACAGGCAGAGGACACUUUCCUUGUCACUGAUUAAAUGGGCCCAGCGGAGCACAUUCAUGGUGUGGAGUGGGUGUCUUUGAAAUCACUUUUCUCAUGGAAUCUUGCAUCAUUAUAAUGUGGGAGUGGAAGCAAUCUUGAGGAGAAUCCUUGAAGGGGCUGGAUUUUGCUUGAUAGUUGAAUGUUUUCCAUUUUGAAACCCACAAACAGGAAUAUGGAAUAUUGUGUUUAUUCUUCUCAGCAAGUUUGAUAAGUGUGAAUAAAUGUAGUUUCUUGUAAAUGAAGCACAGAAUCUCAGAGUUGGAAGGAACCACGAAAGCUAUCGAGUUCAAUGAGUAUCCUCAUGUAGCCACCCUAACCCUAACUUCUCUUUUUGAAAAUCUCUACUGGGGCAAAUCCUAAUCCCAACCCAGUCUGCUCUAUAUUUCCAGCACUUAAUACAGAGGAGAUUAAUAAAUCUUGUUUGUUGACUUUGACAUCUGGACAACUCAGAUUAUUAGAAACAUAUCCUUGUGAAAACUGAAAAUUGCUUUCCUGGCAGGCUCUGAUUCCACCUUCUUUCACAUGACAGUCCUUCAAAUAUUUGAAAGUAGCCAUCAUAUUUCCCUACCUCAGAUCUUUUCUUCACACGUCAUUUCCACCACCCUCAAGUCUUCUCUUCCCAAACAUUCCUAAUCCCCUUCAAAUCAGAUGAUUGUGUGCUCCUUUACCAUCUUGACUGCAUUUCUCUGAAUACUGUCUGGCUUAUUAAUAUUCUCCUUACAAUGCAUCACUGAGACUUAAUACAGUUCUCCAUAUAUAAUCUGACUGGAGUGAAAUGAAGUUUAAUUAUGACUUGAUUCUGGACACUGCCUCUCUUGAAGCAACUAAGACAAUAUUAAGAUCCAUAGUAUAUGAGGCCUGAUGUGUAUUUAGCUAUUAGUAUACCAAAAUCCUUAGAUCUUUUUUGGAAAAACUCAUCUACCCAUGCUUCCCCCAAUCUUCAACUUGAUUCUUUUUUAAGAAUCACUUAAAACUUUAUACUGAUGACUGAACAUUUCCAUCAUGUUAGAUUCUAUACUCAGAUUUUAGAGGAUCCCAACUGCUUAUCAUCCAAUCUGUUUACUACCACUACCACUGUACCUCUGUGAGUUACCUGUGAGUCUGUGAGUGAUGGAUCAUGACUACCAUCCACACCUGACACCAUUUGAGAUGGGACAGCAUAUUAUUUGUCCAACUACCCACAGGUAAUCUUUCCCCAACAACAGUUUCUGUUUCUGUGUCUGUCUGUUUCCCUCUUCCAAGCUCACAGGUAGCUUUCAAAAGCCUUGGAAUUUCUCUCCCUCUCUUCAGCUCCAUUAUCUCCAUCUUCUCCAGGUUCUAGAGCUGCUCGGUUCUUUCUCAUAAGGUUCUGGUCUACCUUUGUCCUCGCCAACUCGGCCUUCAGGCUAGAGAUGGAAAUGAUUUCCUUCUUGUGGUCUGGGAUUUUGUCUUGAGGAUCAGCUGAAACUGGUGCUGAAAUACUGGGAGAAUAUAGUUAGUGAGAGGAGAGUCACUGACCAUGCAGAGGAAAAACUGGAGGCAGAAAUCUUUUUCUUAAAAAAAAAAAAAAACAGAUACAAGCCAAGCAAUGUUUAAAGGAAAACCUACACACAAGUGAGAGAACAAACAGCAUCCUUUGCUUUCUUGGAAUAGGGUGAGUCCAUAACCGUAUUCUGCCAGGGGACAGGGUAGCUCUGAUGUAUGAAUAUUUUAUAUUAGAAUAUUAAUUUAUGAGCAGGUUAAAAAAAGAAAAUGGAAAAGAUCGAUGUCACUCAAAGGAGUUUGGUUUGUCCAUCCACACAAAGACCAAGUAGAAGAGUGAUUUUGCAAACAAAUCUGAUAUUAACAUUCUAUUUGAUGUAAUCAAAAUUGUCCAUUUUAUCACUUGUUUGGUUAAGAACUUUCCCCUUAGCCAUAGUUGUGAAAGGUAUCACCCUUCCUUACUUUCUAAGUUGUUUAUAUGACCAUAUAUCCACUUGGAGUUUUACUGGAUCCAAUGAGAUUGCUUAGCACACCACCUGGCACUUAGUAGGCACUUUAAUAAAAGCUUGCUCCCUUUUGGGGAUGGUUGGUUGUUGUCCUUCAUUUUCGAAGAGGACCAAAACGACAUUUCUAUGUUAGUGUCGAGUUACGGGAGUCCAGCUGUAGCUGAUCAGACCAACACAAGUUCAGAAUGUUCUGCUAUCACUCAGACACAAAUAGUAUCUAUGAACAUUUGGGGGAGGGGGCUCUCUAACUACACAUCUCACAUUUCUUCUGGGCUAAUUCAAUUCUACUUUGCUCAUAGAGCACAGCCCCUUCUCUGAUAAGGGCAUGCCAUGCCGGGUAGUCCUAUGCCAGUCUCUCCCAUGUCAUACAAUCAAUUUUAAAGUCUUUAAGAGACACCUUGAGAGUGUUCUUAUAUCGAUAUUUCUGGCCACCUUGUGAGCGCUUAUCCUAUGUGAGUUCUCCAUAAAAUAUUAUUUUUGACUAGCAUACAUUUGACAUCCAAAAAAAUGUGGCCAGCCCAACGGGGUUGUGUUCACUGCAGUUGGAAUAUUUGGUCUGAGAAAGGUCGGGUAGCUUAAUCCGCCAGGUGAUCUUCAGAAUCGUUCUAGGAUAAUUCACAUGGAAGUGAUUCAGUUUCCUGCAUGGUGCUGGGAGAGUGUCCAGGUUUCACAGAUAGAACAAUUCAGUCCAAUGACUCUGGAGACCUUCAGUUUGGCAGUCAGUCUAAUCCCUCUCCUCUCUCACACUUUCCUUCAGAGCCUUCCAAACCUUAAGCUGGCUCUGGCAAUGCAGGUGUCAAUCUCAUUAUCAGUGUGGACAUCCCUGGAAAGUAUCCCAUCAAAGUAAGAGGACUCACCCACAGCAUUCAAAACUUCUCCAUUUGCCAUAACCAAUGGAUCCACAUACGGACGGUGCGGUGCUGGCUGAUGGAGGUCCAGUGUUUUCUUGGUGUUAAUUCUCAGACCAAAACGAGCAUGAGCUGCAGAGAAUGGAUCCAUAUUUUGCUGCAUCUCGGCUUUGGAGGCUGCAUUGAGCACACAAUCAUCUGCAAACCCAAAAUUACGCACCAGCCCACCCUCUACUUUAGUUCUGGC
ensembl:lncRNA